AGAGUUUGAUCCUGGCUCAGAGUGAACGCUGGCGGCGUGCUUAACACAUGCAAGUCGAACGAGAACGGAUUAUAGCUUGCUAUAAUUGUCAGCUAAGUGGCGCACGGGUGAGUAAUGUAUAGGUAAUAUGCCUCUUACUAAGGGAUAACAAUUGGAAACGAUUGCUAAUACCUUAUACUCCUUACUAACUAAAGUUAGUAAGGGAAAGAUUUAUUGGUAAGAGAUUAGCCUGUAUUGUAUCAGUUAGUUGGUGGGGUAAUGGCCUACCAAGACAAUGACACAUAACUGGUUUGAGAGGAUGAUCAGUCACACUGGAACUGAGACACGGUCCAGACUCCUACGGGAGGCAGCAGUGGGGAAUAUUGCACAAUGGACGAAAGUCUGAUGCAGCAACGCCGCGUGGAGGAUGACACAUUUCGGUGCGUAAACUCCUUUUAUAUGAGAAGAUAAUGACGGUAUUAUAUGAAUAAGCACCGGCUAACUCCGUGCCAGCAGCCGCGGUAAUACGGGGGGUGCAAGCGUUACUCGGAAUCACUGGGCGUAAAGAGAAUGUAGGCGGAUUGAUAAGUUUGAAGUGAAAUCCUAUAGCUUAACUAUAGGACUGCUUUGAAAACUGUUAAUCUAGAAUGUGGGAGAGGUAGAUGGAAUUUCUGGUGUAGGGGUAAAAUCCGUAGAGAUCAGAAGGAAUACCGAUUGCGAA
rnacentral:rRNA from 1 species